rnacentral:rRNA from 1 species
GUCUACGGCCAUACCAUCCUGAACGUGCCUGUUCUUGUCUGAUCUCGGAAGCUAAGCGGGGUCGGGCCUGGUUAGUACUUGGAUGGGAAACCACCUAGGAAGACCAAGUGCUAUAGGCA